ensembl:lncRNA
AUGUGUAUGAAUGGAAGUCAAUGGAGCGAAAAGUGCAGUGCGACCAUGGCUUUAGACUCCAACCCGGCCAUGCUGAAGCUGGUGGACAAAGCUCGAAUCAGUGAGUAUGUGUCCCCUGUGUGCCUGCCGUAUCAUCAGGGUGGAGAGGACAACAUGCUAUGUGAACACCAACAUCCACUCAACCCGUCCAUGAUCUGCACUUCUCAAACCGGAGGGAUCAUUCUUUCCCCCUCUGCUGAUUCCCAACCCACUUUAGGGCUGAAGGACACUGAUUCUCAUCAUGCUUGGAAACUGCUGGAGCUAGUGAGCUUGGGAUAUGAUCUGCGCGGCUGUAAUCCAGAUUUGAUCAGUCUACACACGGGUAGCCAACUUUAAAAACUGGAUUGAAAAGAACAUUAUAUAGAGCUGUAGAUCAAAUAUUAUAGCGUGAUUUUCUGUAUAGCAUUUUCCAUGUUCCAGAUCAUAGAAAAUGGAGAUGAUACAUGUCGCAUUUGUCCUUUGCAAUUUCACAUUCAUUUGACAGAAGUCAAAUAUCAUAUUAGAGAAGUCAAAAAUCAAAAGUUCAUUGAUAAGAAAAAGUGAGAAAUUUGGGAUUUCACAACUACUUUAUGGUCUUGCGUGUGUAUGAGGAUAUGUUUUUGCAUGGUAAAAUGAAAAGGAAGCGUUCCAUGUGAAUUCAGUCACUGGGUUUGCAGGCCUUAGCUUGUCUUUGCUCUCUCUCCAGGAUGUUUCACAAUCCAAUUUGCUCAUUCUUUUUACACAAUCAAUAUGUAUUUACUCUUGCCUUUAGUGCAGCCCUUGUCAGCUAAAACUGGGACAGUGUAUUUAUUAUUCAAAAUUCUUUUAAAUAAAUUAAAUUUGAGAAACACAAUGUUGUAUUUAGUGUUUUUGUUAACAAAUAUUCCUUGUUGUCAUUUUAUCAGCUUUACCCAAAGAUUACAGUACACUUACAAGGACGGACCCCUUAGGCCUCCUGAGGUUAAGUGCCCUCAUAAGGACACACUGGUGAUAGCUCAUGGCUCAUUCCUUACAGGGAUGAAACCAGCAACCUAACUAGUGUUGACCACUGAUGCUAUUAUAAUUUAAUGUAGAGUUUUCUCAAAUCUAUCAAAAUCCUUAUUUUUAUGUACAGUAUACAUGCGCUACCAUUCAAAACUCAGUAAGAUUUUUGUUUGUUUGUUUGUUUGUUUUUCUCUUAUGUUUAACAAGGCUAAAUCUGUUUGAUCAAAAAAGUAAUGUUGUGAAAUAUUACUUGGCUUUCCAUUUUAAUAUAUUUUAGAAUUUA